rnacentral:rRNA from 1 species
GACGAACGCUGGCGGCGUGCUUAACACAUGCAAGUCGAACGGAAAGGCCCUGCUUUUGUGGGGUGCUCGAGUGGCGAACGGGUGAGUAACACGUGAGUAACCUGCCCUUGACUUUGGGAUAACUUCAGGAAACUGGGGCUAAUACCGGAUAGGAGCUCCUGCUGCAUGGUGGGGGUUGGUAAGUUUCGGCGGUUGGGGAUGGACUAGCGGCUUAUCAGCUUGUUGGUGGGGUAGUGGCUUACCAAGGCUUUGACGGGUAGCCGGCCUGAGAGGGUGACCGGCCACAUUGGGACUGAGAUACGGCCCAGACUCCUACGGGAGGCAGCAGUGGGGAAUAUUGCACAAUGGGCGGAAGCCUGAUGCAGCAACGCCGCGUGCGGGAUGACGGCCUUCGGGUUGUAAACCGCUUUCGCCUGUGACGAAGCGUGAGUGACGGUAAUGGGUAAAGAAGCACCGGCUAACUACGUG